AAGGGGGGAGCAUUGGGUGGCA
rnacentral:miRNA from 1 species